CGUCAAAUCAUCAUGCCCCUUAUGUCUAGGGCUACACACGUGCUACAAUGGCUGGUACAACGAGCAGCGAACCCGCGAGGGGGAGCAAAACUUGAAAGCCAGUCCCAGUUCGGAUUGUAGGCUGAACCUCGCCUACAUGAAGUUGGAGUUGCUAGUAAUCGCGAAUCAGCAUGUCGCGGUGAAUACGUUCCCGGGUCUUGUACACACCGCCCGUCACACCAUGAGAGCCGGUAACACCCGAAGCCCGUGAGGUAACCGUAAGGAGCCAGCGGUCGAAGGUGGGAUUGGUGAUUGGGGUGAAGUCGUAACAAGGUAGCCGUAGGAGAACCUGCGGCUGGAUCACCUCCUUUCUAGGGAGA
rnacentral:rRNA from 1 species